rnacentral:lncRNA from 1 species
AUGCUGCAGAUUGUCUUACCAAGCCCUGUCACAACAUGCUGAGUUGUGGUGGAGCACCUCCUCACUUGAGGUGCGUUGAGGCAAGAAGAGUCUUGCCAAGGUGAAGGUUCUUGAAGGUUUGUUCGGGAUUACUUCAAGAAGUUCAAGACAUCCUGAAGGUUGCAGCAAUCGUUUUGGUAUCAACUCACCAAGGUGGAGAUUGUUGUGUUUUUGGCUCAUUGAUACAAUCUGAAAAUUAGGAUGCAGAAUUCAAAUCCAAGUCUGGAAAGGAAAGAGGUUUGCGCGCAGCUUUUCUAUAAGUUCUAGGAAAGUUAGUCUUUCAAGUUCUAUUAGGAUUUGUAUUAAAAGCUUAGUCUAUUAGGGUUAGGAAUCCUAAUCCCAUAUUGUAUCAGCAGCCUCUAUGCCCUAUAAAUAGGGGCUGCAGUCAGUUUUCUGGAAUUAAGACAGAAAGUGCAGAAAACUGAGAGUCAAGGUGAUAGAGAGAUAAGAACUAGUCAGAGGGGUUU